rnacentral:lncRNA from 1 species
UUUCUCCUUGACUGCAGUGAGCAGUGUUUGGACAUGGCCAGAGUAUGGUGAGUUUUAACUAGGUGUGCUCUGGUCUGCUUGUUACAAGAGACCCAGUGCUAUUUCUGUUAGAUAUGAAGCUUUGCAGAACUAUGGUCAUUAGACAAGGUGUCCGUGGGGUGGGGUGGGGUUGUGUUGGUCUUCUUGGGGAGGGGCCUGCUGUUCUGGUUCUGAGAUACAACUGCCGAGGUCUGGGUGGUGAGGGGACAGGGCUUGGUGUAAGCAUUAUAGGUCACCACUGUUGGUGCUAUGCUGCUUACUAAAGUUAGUUUAUCCUGAGGGGGAGGGUAGGGAAAUGGCUUUAGCCCUCCCUUGUCCUAGAGAUGGGAGAUUGCAUCCAUUGCACUCUGGGUAGCCUUAUUAGAACAACAUUCUCUUGUGUGUCCCAGGCAUCCCUCAUAUCCCUGCCUUCACUCUCUUUGUGUCUGGGCUGUCUGCUCACCUGGCAGCACAGUGCACCUGUUUUCUAUUUCAGGCAAGCUGGCUGAGUUUUAAAACAACAAACAUUAGCAACCUGGUAUAGUGGGGACUGGCACUCCUACUCUGGGGUAUGGUCUUGCUAUGCUCAGAAUGAUGCAGGUUUGUCAUAGAAGGGCAGUCACACCAAAGUGUAGGGGUGGGAAUUUUGGAGUAAAGUGUAGCAAAGAGCUGUUUCCAGGUUAGCCACCCUAAGCAGAUGUCUCUGCACCUAUGUUGAGUGGCAAAGUAGUGUAAUGGAACCCACAGAACCUUUUGUCCCCAGAGAUACAAUGCCACCUUUUGCAGAUGUGGUCCAGAAAGGAGGAACUGUCUCUCCCAGUGCAUCCCACGGGAUUUUUGGAUCAUGCCCUCUGCUACUGGGCUAUCAGCCCCCUUCUCCACUGGAGCACUGCAAUACCCACUGGCCAUGCCGUGGACUACUAAAACUCAUCAUUGAGCCCUGCUGUUUGUAUAAACUCAUGAAAAUCAGGUCCUCUGGUUUUCCCAGUCAGUGGCUUUGGGGUGACAAGCAUCUGGAGAAUAAUAAACAUAGUCUUCAGUGUAAGGAAAAAAAUAAACCAGAUUUCACAUCACCCUUAGUCACAUAA